GACGAACGCUGGCGGCGUGCUUAACACAUGCAAGUCGAGCGGUAAGGCCCUUUCGGGGGUACACGAGCGGCGAACGGGUGAGUAACACGUGGGUGACCUGCCCUCAGCUCUGGGAUAAGCCUGGGAAACCGGGUCUAAUACUGGAUAUGACUCCAUGACGCAUGUUGUGGGGUGGAAAGCCUUGUGCGGCUGAGGAUGGGCCCGCGGCCUAUCAGCUUGUUGGUGGGGUGANGGCCUACCAAGGCGACGACGGGUAGCCGGCCUGAGAGGGCGACCGGCCACACUGGGACUGAGACACGGCCCAGGCUCCUACGGGAGGCAGCAGUGGGGAAUCUUGCGCAAUGGGCGAAAGCCUGACGCAGCGACGCCGCGUGAGGGAUGACGGCCUCGGUUGUAAC
rnacentral:rRNA from 1 species